rnacentral:rRNA from 1 species
UACGUAGGGUGCGAGCGUUGUCCGGAAUUAUUGGGCGUAAAGAGCUUGUAGGCGGUUUGUCGCGUCUGCUGUGAAAAUCCGGGGCUCAACCCCGGACUUGCAGUGGGUACGGGCAGACUAGAGUGUGGUAGGGAGACUGGAAUUCCUGGUGUAGCGGUGGAAUGCGCAGAUAUCGGGAGGAACACCUAUGGCGAAGGCAGCUCGCUGGGACGUUACUGACGCUGAGAAGCGAAAGCAUGGGGAGCGAACAGG